GAGAAGGCCUGCUGGAGAACGAAGACCUGGAGGAAGCUGAACUCAGACAGAUGGACAGACAGACUUGGUGACGUCAUUGGAGGCACCAGGUCCAGCUGAACCUUGAACUCUGUCAUCACAGGAACCAGUAAAUUCACCUUUAAGCCCAAGUUGAGUUUCUGUCACUCACCCCCUAAAAAAGUGCUGAUGGGAGGGUGUCUGGGUAACAACUGCAUGCCAGUUGACCACAUCCAUGCCGCUGCCAGCCCCGGAUCUGGGGUAGAGUCUAGCCGCCUGAGGGCAUCAAGUUUGUGGCCCAUGAGGGUCGUAGCCAUGCUACAGGGCAGAGGACAAGAACCGGGUCCCCAUGAGACCAAAAGGAGACAAUAGGUGGAAAGGAUGGCCUGCACUGAAGCCGGGGCCACCAGGCUUGUCGCCCCUCACUCUGUGGACAGACUGGGUUGCACCAUUUCUGAGGGAAUCUCCAUGACUCAGUCCUGGGCAUUGCGGCUGGGGCCAGUACUCAAAAUGGCAGCAGACGCAGUCGGCCUGCCAGCCCCUGCUAGCUCUUGUUUCAGGUCAGAGGAAGAAAGUACUGGUGGCCUCUGGGGAUCCAGAAAGGACUGGUGGCCUCCAGGUGUCCAAGAGUCUUCUCUUCAACGAACAUGGUGAGGGGGAGCAUUGUGCUGGGUUGAUGAGUGUCCCCCAAACCAACUUCCACU
rnacentral:lncRNA from 1 species